GUUUGGCUGAAAUGAAAGAUUUAAAAAGUAAUUCAAUUUAUAUAUGUAGGCGAUUAACAGCGGUUGACAUUUGUUGUAUAAAAAUGUGUCUCAUAAAAGUUCUCAAUCGACGUAUUGUAUAAACACAAAGUGUAUCUAUGGCGCAGUUACUUUAGCGUAAUUAAAAAAUAAAGAAUUAUCACACCCUUUGGUAUUUAUGGAACAUGACAUCCAUCAUGAAUAACGAACUAAUUGAAGUUCUGACUAAUGCGCCACAAAUAAAAUGUCUAUCUUUGCAAGAAUAUCAAUAAAUGUAUCAAGAUUUAGAUCGACUUCGUCGAGAAACUACGAAUCUUCAUCGGAAAUUAUGUCAUGCUAGGAGAAAUCUAGAGGAGGAAAAA